UGGGGAAUAUUGGACAAUGGGCGCAAGCCUGAUCCAGCAAUUCCGCGUGGGUGAAGAAGGUCUUCGGAUUGUAAAGCCCUUUCGGCGGGGACGAUGAUGACGGUACCCGCAGAAGAAGCCCCGGCUAACUUCGUGCCAGCAGCCGCGGUAAUACGAAGGGGGCUAGCGUUGCUCGGAAUGACUGGGCGUAAAGGGCGCGUAGGCGGCUGGUCAAGUCAGGCGUGAAAUUCCUGGGCUCAACCUGGGGGCUGCGCUUGAGACUGAUCGGCUUGAGGAUGGAAGAGGCUCGUGGAAUUCCCAGUGUAGAGGUGAAAUUCGUAGAUAUUGGGAAGAACACCGGUGGCGAAGGCGGCGAGCUGGUCCAUUACUGACGCUGAGGCGCGACAGCGUGGGGAGCAAACAGGAUUAGAUACCCUGGUAGUCCACGCCGUAAACGAUGUGCGCUGGAUGUUGGGUGACCUAGUCACUCAGUGUCGUAGCCAACGCGGUAAGCGCACCGCCU
rnacentral:rRNA from 1 species